AGAGCGAACGCUGGCGGCAGGCCUAACACAUGCAAGUCGAGCGCCCGUAGCAAUACGGGAGCGGCAGACGGGAGAGUAACACGUGGGAACGUACCCUUCAGUUCGGAAUAACCCAGGGAAACUUGGACUAAUACCGAAUACGUCCGUAAGGAGAAAGAUUUAUCGCUGAAGGAUCGGCCCGCGUCUGAUUAGCUUGUUGGUGAGGUAACGGCUCACCAAGGCGACGAUCAGUAGCUGGUCUGAGAGGAUGAUCAGCCUCACUGGGACUGAGACACGGCCCAGACUCCUACGGGAGGCAGCAGUGGGGAAUAUUGGACAAUGGGCGCAAGCCUGAUCCAGCCAUGCCGCGUGGAUGAUGAAGGCCCUAGGUUGUAAAGUCCUUUCGGCGGGGAAGAUAAUGACGGUACCCGCAGAAGAACGCCCGGCUAACUUCGUGCCAGCAGCCGC
rnacentral:rRNA from 1 species